rnacentral:lncRNA from 1 species
GGCCCGGUGCGCGUGGCCUAGUUUUGUUGCUUUUUAUUUAAACAUAUUUCAUCAAGAAACAACAUGUACAUACUAUCACUUCAAGAAACAAAUUUCAUUAAGAAUCAUGAAGAAAUGACGCAAUACGAAAAUGAAUACAAACACUAUUGAAUCAUUGGUACCAGCCGGCGCAGUUGCAGCUUGAAACAAAUUUCAUCAAGAAACAUGAAGAAUUGACGCAAUACGAAAAUGAAGACAAACACUAUUGAAUCACCGGUACCGGCUGGCGCAGUUGCAGCUUUCGUGCGUACACGGUGGCGGCAAUUUCGACCAGCUACAGAAGUAAUCUUCUUUCUCUUCCGUCAACCCAGUACUGAACCAAUCUUGACGAGGAGGAACGCCAGCGGUGGCGCCUCAUCCUCCACAGCCCCGCUGCCUUCCCCACCGGCCGCGGCGGCGCCACGGCCUUCCCCACGCCCAGCCCCGCGGCCUUCCCCAUCGGCCGCAGCGGCGCCACGGCCUUCCCCACGUCUAGCCCCAUAGCCAGCCCCGUGUCCUCCGCCAGCACCACGGCGGCGCCUCCUACAACGUCGGCGACAUCCUGUUGAUCUUGCUCUGGUGUUGCAAAUUUUCUUUUGGUUUCGGUACGAGAAUUAAGGAGUUGUAGAUUAUUGUUUUAAGUGUGUAAUUAAUGUAUAAAAGUGAUAAAGUAGGAGAGAAUGUAAUAAAUGUGAUAAAGUAGGAGAGAGAAUGUAAUAAAGGUGAUAAAGUAGGAGAAAAUGUAAUAAUUAUUACAUUAUUUGGAAAUGUGUCAAGAUUCGUGGAACGGCCCAAAAAGGAAAACGUGUCAAGAUUCGUGGGACAGGGGAAAUAGUUAUUUAUAAAGUGUGCAUGCGUCGCUGUAACACCCUAAUCUAAUUAACGUAUUAAAUAUGAAUGUAAAUAAUUUUUGACAGCGGAAAUAUCAUAAAAUAAAGAUUUGGAUUUAUUAUCAAAUAAAUAAAUUUUUAAAUAAAAUAUUUUGAAAACACUUCAAAGGGAGAAAACCCUAAAAAAAAUUAAACUUUUAAAUAAUGUACUCAAAGGCUAACUUUGAUUUAAAAAUCGACAAUCAACCUCUUAUUUCAAAGCAUGACAUAAAGAUGUCAUCAAAAUAUCCAAGUAUUAGGUAAAACUUGUGCUAAGCAAAACUUUAAAUACUUAAAUUAGUUGAAAAUCAAAUCAACUACUUGAUAAAUGUCUUGAAUCUCGAUGCGCCCAUUCGACCUUCCACGCGUCUCCAACGUCAAAAUACCUGAAAUGUUUAAUAUGGGAUGAGCAUACAGAAUAUACUCAGUGUGGGAAACAUGCAAUAAUUGUCCACGUUAAUAAAAUGGUCAACACAUACGCACUGCACUGUACUGAUAACUGAAAUUCGCACGGUGGCAUACCAAGGACUUUAAAGUCCUGGACCCAUUGAGCAGGCCCCUGGCGAAUAGGUUGCAACCCUAACUGUAACAUGAAAUCGCAUAGUGGCAUACCAAGGACGGUAAAGUCCUGGACCCAUUGAGAGGGCCCCUAGCGAUAUAACUGAAUUUACAACACAUAUGGCAAACACAUAAUAUUAAAAUGGACAAAGACUAACCACAACAUGUACUGAAAUAAAUCCCACACCUGAAACUUGAACUUGAAAACUAACUUGAAUA